rnacentral:rRNA from 1 species
UACGAAGGGGGCUAGCGUUGCUCGGAAUUACUGGGCGUAAAGAGUGUGUAGGCGGUGUUCCCAGUCUGUUGUGAAAUCUCCCGGCUUAACUGGGAGGGUGCAGCGGAAACUAGAAUGCUAGAGGGUGGGAGAGGUAAGCGGAAUUCCUGGUGUAGCGGUGAAAUGCGUAGAUAUCAGGAGGAACACCUGUGGUGUAGACAGCUACUGGACCACUUCUGACGCUGAGACACGAAAGCGUGGGUAGCAAACAGG